UCUCUUCUUUUUUUUUUUCUUUCUUUUUCUCCCUUAUCUCCACUUCUUUAGAGUUCUUUCUUUCUUUCUCUUCUUUUUUGUUUCUUUUUUUUUUCCUUCUUUCACUACACUCCUGGAUUUAUUCUUUUGUCUUCCUCUCCAUUUUGAUUUUAUUUCCCCUAUUUUAUUUGUCGUGGUGUUAAUGUUAGUGGGUUUUGGAUUUGAAGAUGGUGUUGCAACUUGUUAAUUUUGUUUAAAUUUGUAAAUGGUGCUACUAUUAUGGGAUUUGUGAUUGAAGAAAGAGUGCUAUUGUGUUUGAUGCCAUUGGUUGUAUAGUUGCAAGUUGGUCUAUGGCGGCUGAAUGUGUUGGGGUGGAGUUGCUAUUUUUUUUUUUUUUUUUGAACGUGAGCAUAUUGUGUUUGAUUUUGAAUUUUUUUUUUUUUUGGUGGGUUUGUGUUUCAUUUUGAAUUUGCUGGGCUAUAGUGUUUGUAUUUUGUAUUUUUUUGAAUUUUUAGUUUUUUGGAUUUGUAUUUUGCUAAACGUAUUUUGUUUUAUUUAUGUUCUUUGUUUUGUUUUGUA